UCCCUGAUGGUCCAGUGGUUAGGACUCUCUAUUUCCACUGUUGUGGUCCCAGAUUCAAUCCCUGGUCAGGGAA